rnacentral:lncRNA from 1 species
GGCACUGCUGGUUCUAAGCUACCUCUGCCUUUCAUCAGAACAAGAGAAGAGGACUAAUCCAGCCCAUGCACUUCCGUGUUAGAAAGGUAAUGUGUGAACUGAGUCUGAAUGAAUGUUGGUGGCUUGUGACUCAGUGGCCCAGUUCAUAUGAGGAUUCAUAAACCAUGUUUAUGAAGUGAGGAAUAAGCUUUGGGAACAAGCAGUUCUCCCUUGCCUUUCCUCUUCUCUCCUCCCACUGUAUGUCGGGUUGGCACCUAGAUCCUGGCUUGUGUGAAGCCAGAGUUGGCUGUUACAGUGGAAUUUGAGAGCUCUAGCUUAAAGUCUGGUAACAAACCAGCCAGUGGGAUAGGAAGGAUGAGGACCACCUGGCCCAGGUCCUUGUUUAUGACUUCAUUGUUUUUGAAUGGUUUCCCAAACUAGGCUCAUUUGGAAAUGUUCUGAAGAUUCAGUCAAAUGUUUCUUGUUGCAUUUUAUUAGGUAAUGCUUCCCACAGCAAUAAAGCAGAUGUACAAACACUUGCCGGCACCAAAGUAAUUAAGCACAUUGCAAUUUGCUUUGCCAGCAAAGCGUAUGUAUGAUGUGUCUUCUUUUGAUGUCUUGUCGAACGGCUGAGAAUUUGGACUCCUCAGAAAAGGGAGGUAUUUCAAGUGUAGCCAAGGUGGCACCCUCCAGAUUUCGUAGAGGCUGCAGUCGACACUGUCCCUCACCACUAGCCAUGCUGGCUGGGUCUGAUGAAAGUUGUAGUUCAGCAACAUCUGAAAAGCACAUGUUAGUUACCCCCACAUUGAAACAAUAUUUAAUACAACUUUUUGAUUCCUUUAUUGAUGCUUCAAAAUUCAGCAACAAUUGAAACGGAGCUUCUGCAGCAGUAGUAUUUCUACAGUUAAAAUAUUGCAUUUUAGAAUGGUCAGCAUUUUAAAAUUGUAUAUUUGGUGCUCAUACCUAAAUGUGGUAUUAAUAUUUUCCUCCAUAUACUGCUGUUAACCAGUAAUCAGUGUUAAUUUUUAUUCUCCUUUUUGAGUGCAAGAGAUAACACAAGUUGCCUUAAAACAAGGGAGAUGAAAAUAAAUGCAGAAUGGGGAAAGAGAUGUUAUAUUUCAUUAUGAUCUGGAAAACUAAAGAUACAUGCUGUCUACCAUGCUGAGCCACAUGCUGAGAGCAGCAGUGAUCUGUUUUUCAAGACAUGCUAAUCUCUAUCCUGGGAAGCCUUUGGCCAGAAUAUGAUCCUUAACCUUUACCGCUUGUAGUUUUUCAUUGUGAUAGUCCAAGGUCCUUGAUCUGGAAUAUGUAUCUACACAUCUUAUAGUAAAACAUUGAAUAAAGCCCUUGAACUCAGUUGUGCAUGAGGAGGUGUCUGGCUAACAGAUGCACAGUGCAAAGGUUUUUCAUCUUUUCCUAUGUGAGAAAGAUUUUUACCACAUUUGUUACACAGGUGCUACCUGUUUCAAAAGCUGUACAAAGCCUGGCAUUAAUUCAGUGUGUGCGUCUUUGAGAAGUUAAGAAAAGAACUGUAUGAUGGUUACCAAAACCUCUAGCCAAAGCAUUCAGUAAGUGAAAUAUAGCUCCCAUCUUCAUUGCUACCUGACGUGUUGCCCCCUUAAGGUUAUUAUGUCACAGUGCUGAUGUGAGGUGUCAAUGCAGGAGUCACAUGCUCUACUUCCUUGCCUGGUCUGUCUGUACUAAAAGUGGACACACUGAGGGCAGGUGUGGUGGUGUGGCAUUGGCAGCAAAGCAGGGCAGCUCUGACUGAACUUGUUGGUAGAGAGAAUAUAGUUAUGAAACUCCAUUGUAUUUGAUGGUCUAUAUUUAUGUUCCUAGUUUUAGAGAUGGUUUAACGUUCUUUCACUUGUUCAGCCAUGCACAGCUUGCAUUCUCUAGAUCCAAACAAAUAGCUUCAUAUCACUGAGUUCAUUUUGAUAGUGAAACAAAAGUUUUAUGUAUUAACAAGGUUCACUAGGUACCUUUGGGUUUAGUGAAAUGCACCUGCCAAAUACUCCUACCUAUAGCUAAAAUGAGCACACAAACUUAUACAGUGUAUGCAGUUCAUGUUGAGUCAAUAAGAUAAGCACAUAUACCAGAAGCACCCAUGCUGAAAAAUACACAUGGCCUUAUGCUUCUCGUGCUAAUACCAACACCAACUUAAGACAUCAUCUGUCCAUCCUAAAUCUUUUCCUCUACCUUGUUUCUUGGGCCAACCUGGGCUGCUGUCACCUCUUUCCUUCCAUUCAUGCAUUAUACAGGAAAUCAAUUCCAUGAUGUUUCCUCCAGUGGUAGAACAUAAUGGUAGGAAUUUGUCUCUUCUGUUAAGUUUUGGGACAGCUUUGCAUGGAACUGGGAAGUGUCACAACGGGGAAGUGCAGUUGUGUUUUCUUUCUCUUUUAUCCACUCCUGAAAUUUGCACGUCUUUUCCAUGCAUGCAUGUGGAUGCUUGCUAUCAAUGUUCAGCCAGCUCAUGUACCUCUCCUCGCAAGAGAUAUGUAAGUUACAUGAGAAUUAUAUCUGUAUUAUGUAAAGCUGCUCACAAAAGCCCCCUUCAUGUUAUCCACAUGUAGAGGGCUCCAUCCAUGAAGGAGAACAGGAUUGCACUACUGACCAUGUUCUGAUGUUGCAUGCUUCCCCAACCCCAGCAAUGAUACAUUGUCUUGGGAGAGUCUCAAAAUCCAUUCUUACUGUUGGUAGUCAUAUUUUUCUAUGAGGGGGGAGUAAGGCAUGAACUUCAUGGACAGAUCACAGCUGUUGAAGCAGUCCAGUCAUGUAUACAUUGUCAUCUGCUGCAGAGACAAGAGGAGAGACAAAGAGGAGAGACAUACUGACCUGCUGUUGGGUAUCUACAGUGCAUGUUCACCUUCUCUGUUCCCCUGGGUGUGCAUUUAUUUUUUUCCAGCUGAAAAUAAUCCUGCAUUUUACUAAUGUUUAACAUUAAUUCCUCCUCUAGCAAAAGUUUUUACUAAAGCUGUCAGCAUUGUUGCUUGAGAAGGGGUUUCAUGGUUUGGCUCAGAAUCAAACCCGUGUUUCUCAUCUAUUUUCUUAUUAGAAUCUUGGCAUAUUUAUAAGCUGUGUGUGAUUUUUUAUUUUUUUUUUAGAAUGUACAUGGUCUUACUUUUAUUUUCAUUUGAUUACUCUCUCAACUGCAAUAUUUUGAGAGCAUGGGAAUUAUAUUGGGAGUUUUUUUUCUUAAAGUAAGAAGUAGUUGAGAGUAAUUAAAGGAUUUCAAAGGAAGUGCUUACUGUAUAAACCAGCAGGAAAGUAGAACAACAUAAAAGUCUAGCAUGAAGGUUUUUUCACAGUCUUCACAUAAUACACUGAAACUUUGAAAUGCCAAGAUCAUUUAAUAGGGUUUAGUCUGUCAGCUUACAUAUGAGUAGAGAGGCAGGGGGUGGACAGCUGCUAAUGAUCAUGGGAAUAUCAGGUUAAAUUAGGAGAGAGAGAAGCAGAAUGAAUGGUAGUAAAAGAGUUAAAGGAAAAUGACAAGGGCUUUCAAAGAUGUACCAAGGGAACAGUGUAAGUGGGUCUAUUAAUAGGGAAGAAAUAUGAGCAUAAUAACGACUCAAAAGUGUCGGAGUAAUCUUGAGAUUGAUCCUUAAUCAGGUGCUUGCCCCCUUUCCUGGUCAAAGAGUAAUCAAGUUGUGUUCUCUUCAAAUGGGGAUAAGGACGGUUUCACAUAACCAGUAAGUAUAGGGCUGGCUCUUUUUAUUUUGUUGAAAAUGACAGCUUGCUUACCUCUGUCCUUUCAUCAUGAUCUUGACUGCCACAAUAUUUUAGAGUCCUUGCAAGCUUGUCGAUUUGUGAGUGGUUUGUAGAUGCAUAUGUUACUUUGUGUAUGCAAAAGAGUAGUGUUUAUGUGUGAUUGUAAAUAUGCAGGAGAUGGUGUGAUUGUUAGAGUAACUGUGUGUGGUUCUGCAAGUGUAUGACUGUUCGGAUAGUAGGUCCUGGAUCUCUCUGACACUUCUGAUGUAACUCCAAGCCAGAAUCACCUGCCCCAGAGGAUAUCUAGCCAGUGAGUCUACCAGACCUGAGGUCAAGGGGCAACUCAUUGAAAACAAUUAUGAGGAAGAAAAGUUAACAAACUGCAAACUUGGGAGAAGCAUUUCAGAGUGGGAGCCAAAUCUAAAACCAACAUGGGACUGCUACCAAAAACCAGCAGCUCUGUGUCAACUCCCUUAGUAACAUAGGAAACUGCCUUAUUCCUAAUCAGGCCAUUGGUCCAUUUAACUCAGUAUUGCCUACAAUGACUAGAAUUGGUUCUUUAGGAUUUUACUCGGGAGACAUUCCCAACCCUGCCUGGAUAUGCUGUGGCUUGAACCUGGGAUGAUUUGAUUCGUUAUUUGGCCCCCACAUAGAGCUGCUGCACAGCACUAGUAUUUUUGAACCUCCAAUUGAUAUGAGAUGAUUUGCUGACAGGAGCAAUGCCAGGAUAAAGAGUGAGUCAAACUAGAUAUGACACAGUGGGCUGUUAUUUUUUUUAUGCGUGUUUCUGAUGUGUAGUUUUCUGCUCAGACCUUUCUGGUUGGGGAAGUUUAAAUUUCUCUCCUCAUCACCGGAAAUGAUAAUGGAUGCACACAUCACAUCUAAUUGCCCCUCAUUUGCUUUUAAAAAUUAUAUAUUUAUAAAAAUACAAUUAAGAUUCACAUUAACAAUGGCUGUUUUUUCAUUACACUGUGGAGUCUUUUAAGUUAAUGCCUGCUUCCUUUGGGAACUCUCCCUGGUCCUGUAAGGUCUGAACAUAGUUUCAUGAUUAUGAACUUGGCAUUUCCUAGAAAUAAAUAAAUGUGGUUUUUUUAACUUAAUCAUCCAGGGAUUCUUUUUAAUGGCUUCUGCAAAAGCAUCAGAAAUGUUAAUAUUUAAUGUCAUAUUUAUGAUCCAUUAUUGUUAUUUCAUUUAAUUAAUUGGUAGAAUAACCCCCAACUUUUUAUCGAUUGAGUGAAACCCAAGCAGCCACAAUGUCAAGAUUUUCAAGCAAUUACAGAAUUGCUUUUGGUAAUGUUGAAAGCAUUAUUUUGGCUUCAUGACUCAAUACAGCAACCUUUCUAGUGUCUUCCCUCACCCCCUUCAAUAUUUUUGUUUGAUAGGGACAUCAUGUUAAGAUUCAUUGGACCUUUGAAAUGUUACCUAGUUCUGAAUCCCACAUUUGAAGGAGAUGCAUUAGAAUGUGUCAAGACUGUGCAUAUUGGUAGGGAGCAGAGAAACAGUCUAAUCAUAUAUCCCUGCUGGGGUUUUUGUAGCUGUCAGGGCUGAGGCAUAAAUUAUUGGAUGAAGUCAGUAGUGAGUACCAAGGAGCAAAACCAGGACCAAAGGAUAAAUCAGGAAGUAGCAUCAAGAAGGAGCAAGCCAGAAGCAAGGACUGAAAAGCAAUGCACUACUUUUCAGUAGCUCAUCACACAUGACAGUUGCACAGAAAGCCAAUGACUUCCACUUUGAGCUCUGGUAGUAGCCUGGUGGGAGGACGUUAGUUUUCUUUAGUUGCAACAACAGCACAGCCAGUCCGUUAUCCUUCAUAUAAUUCAAGUUAUUGCUCUAGAGCAAAUCAGUAGCUGAGAUCACCAAAACCUGCAAUCUGGUUCAGCAUCAAAUAAAUCAUUGCAGAAGGGGUGUGUGUGUGCUUCUCUAUUUGGAAGCCCCAUAUUGCUGGUAAUAUGAUGGUUGGAGACAGCAGGAGUAUUUAACUUUUAAGGAAGGAAUUGGCCUGUAAUGGAGUUAUAUCCCACUUUUUUGGGCCAUAUUUCACAUAAGUUUAUAAACAUAUCCUUUGGAUUCCACCUAACAAACAAUGCAAUAUUACAUAAUUACACCACUGUUUGCAUCUGCUCAACUCUACAUAAAGUAGGAGCAAUGUUUUGUCUGCCUUCCUUCCUCUACUGCAACUCACAUGCAUGCACACAUGAUGGACUCCACUGUUGAUUUCUGGUCUGAAUAAAUUAGGAUAUCAUAACAAAGAAACUAAUGCAACUGAUAUUGCCCUAGUGUUUCUUUUGAACAACAAAUUCUAAACAGUUUCAUACAAUGGGCAAUCAGCUAUAAGAAGCAUGUAAAGUUUGUUAGGCUCUGGGAAUCUAGGUGCCAGUGGGAAUGAUUAGGGAAACUGAGUGGAGCCUUUAAGCAUCAGCUGCUAGUGCCCAUAAAUUAAGUGAUAAACCUUUGAAAAGCUAAUCUGAAAAGCAAGGAUUUAUAUUUGGGAUCACAUGCUUGUACAGGAAGUGCAUUCCAGAUUUCAGCAAGGGAGAGAAAGAUUUGAGAGGGACUGGAGAUGCAAAAAUUCACAAUAUGGUCCAAAUAUAUGUUUCCUCUUGGUUGUAUUCAGGAUUAAACUGC